CAUUCAAGGAAAAACCAGUUGAGAAUCAGGAUAUCAGUCAUUAUUAAAAUGAGAAAAGGGAAGGAUACAUGAUAUAGACAAGAAGCUGUUUAUUAGGAGAAUAUUAGUGACAAAGCAAAUAAGCUGGUACAAAAGCAUAGUAAUCAAACAAUAUUUGCUUUGAGGUAGCAUCUAGAGAAUGAAGGCGGACUUAUGUGAUGCAUAGCAUUAUAGACUUAUAGUCCAAAAGGAAAUGAAUUAUCCAUGGACCCUGGAAUCAACCACAACUAGAAACUGAAAUUUAACAUCAAAGUCGAAGAAUAGAAGCAGCUACAAGCCAUAACGUCAUCUUCACUCUUCAUUAUGGAUGUGUCCAUGUUUCUUGAUUUUGAAAAAAAUAUUCUAGCUAUUGAGAAGGAAAAUGAGCAUAGAUACUGAGUCAUGGUAGAGAUACUGAGAUACAGAUGAUUGGACUAGCCAAGGCAAGGUGCUCAUGAGGCCAUUUUAUAAGAGAUGGAAACUCGCCCUUACAAAAUUGAGAUGGAGAAUUUCAAAGCAGACUUAACAAGUAGCCCAAAAGUUACUCGAUUUAUCAAAAAAAAAUACAUAAAAAGUUUUAGCAAUUAGGGGAUCAUGACAAGAGACAACCCAAAAGAAAUUGAUUCCCCAAGAAUUAGACUCUCGAGGUAUAUGCACACAACCAGCAACAUGCAAAUGCUUAUUAAGUGUGGCUCUAACUAACCAAGAGGAAUUGUUCGUGGUCUCAAUAGGAACAGGGAGGCAGCAAUUCAGUAACUGCAUGAAGAAGAAAUGACGAUAGCAUACGCACCUAACUAAGUAACUAUCAAGCCUCAACCAGAAGAGAUGUAGAGCUGUAAUUAAAGCAACAUUAUUGAUUAUUAUUAUUGCUAUUAUGUUCUUGAACUACCCUUCCAACAGGAAACUUUUUGAUGAGAGAACCAAACCAAGUCAAAUGACACAGAAGAACAUUUCCCCCCGUAAUAGAUUUAAAACUUAAUUACCAUCAUGUCUGCUACCCUUUCUAAUCCAUACCCAACCCCUACUGAUUAACUACGAAAGGCCAAAUC